rnacentral:rRNA from 1 species
UGAGGAAUAUUGGACAAUGGAGGCAACUCUGAUCCAGCCAUGCCGCGUGAAGGACUAAGGCCCUAUGGGUCGUAAACUUCUUUUGACGCAGAGCAAUAAGGAUUACGUGUAGUCUGAUGAGAGUAUGCGUCGAAUAAGGAUCGGCUAAUUCCGUGCCAGCAGCCGCGGUAAUACGGAAGAUCCGAGCGUUAUCCGGAUUUAUUGGGUUUAAAGGGAGCGUAGGCGGACGAGCAAGUCAGUUGUGAAAGUUUGCGGCUCAACCGUAAAAUUGCAGUUGAAACUGUUUGUCUUGAGUUCACAUAAGGAUGGUGGAAUUUGUGGUGUAGCGGUGAAAUGCAUAGAUAUCACGAAGAACUCCGAUUGCGAAGGCAGCCAUCCGGGGUGCGACUGACGCUGAGGCUCGAAAGUGCGGGAAUCAAACAGGAUUAGAUACCCUGGUAGU